CUCACGUGCACUAUAGGGACAUACGAACGCUCACGUGCACUAUAGGGACGCUCACGUGCACUAUAGGGACGCUCACGUGCACUAUAGGGACAUAAAAAUGCUCACGUGCACUAUAGGAACGCUCACGUGCACUAUAGGGACACUCACGUGCACUAUAGGGAUGCUCACGUGCACUAUAGGGACACUCACGUGCACUAUAGGGACGCUCACGUGCACUAUAGGGACAUACGAACGCUCACGUGCACUAUAGGGAUGCUCACGUGCACUAUAGGGACACUCACGUGCACUAUAGGGAC